rnacentral:rRNA from 1 species
GGGAUUGCCUCAGUAACGGCGAGUGAAGCGGCAACAGCUCAAAUUUGAAAUCUGGCCCCCAGGCCCGAGUUGUAAUUUGUAGAGGAUGCUUUUGGCGAAGUGCCUUCCGAGUUCCCUGGAACGGGACGCCAUAGAGGGUGAGAGCCCCGUCUGGUCGCGCGCCUAGCCUCUGUAAAGCUCCUUCGACGAGUCGAGUAGUUUGGGAAUGCUGCUCAAAAUGGGAGGUAUACGUCUUCUAAAGCUAAAUACCGGCCAGAGACCGAUAGCGCACAAGUAGAGUGAUCGAAAGAUGAAAAGCACUUUGAAAAGAGAGUUAAAAAGUACGUGAAAUUGUUGAAAGGGAAGCGCUUGCAAUCAGAAUUGGUGCUAGCCGAUCAGCGUUCCUUCUGGUUCGUGCACUCGGUUGGUUUCCGUGCCAGCACCAGUUACAGCGGCAUGAUAAAGAUGGUGGGAAUGUGGCUCCCUACGGGGAGUGUUAUAGCCCACUAUGUCAUGAUGCCUGCAGUGACUGAGGACCGCGCCCUAGGCAAGGGCGCUGGCUUAAUGGUUGUAAGCGG